rnacentral:rRNA from 1 species
CCCUUAGAUGUUCUGGGCCGCACGCGCGCUACACUGACGAAGUCAGCGAGCAUGUCCUACGCCGACAGGUGCGGGGAAUCUUGUCAAACUUCGUCGUGAUGGGGAUUGAUUAUUGAAAUUCUUGAUCAUCAACGAGGAGUUCCUAGUAAGCGCAAGUCAGCAGCUUGCGUUGAUUACGUCCCUGCCCUUUGUACACACCGCCCGUCGCUACUACCGAUUGAAUGGUUUAGUGAGAUCUUCGGAUUGGCGCCACUGCGGCUCAGCAAUGGGCUCGGUGGAUGCCGAAAAGUUGAUCAAACUUGAUCAUUUAGAGGAAGUAAAAGUCGUAACA